GAAAAUGAUAAACCUCAGCUGUUUAAGAGAAGAAUGUCUGAGUAGCUGUUGAUUAUCUCCCAUAAUCACAAAACAACUUUUUUUUAAAAAGAAUUUGCACUGUCUGUUAAAACGCGGUCAUUGUUUUGCUUUCAAAUCGAACUUCACGACAGUUAGCAACUUCAAGAACGCUUCCAAAUGGAUAAAUCUUUCCAGAAGAUUUCUUGCUUCAAAACAGCUGCAUUUUUGGAAGAAAGUCCACAACUGACAACUAAGCAAAACCCUCCUGGUGGAUAGCAUAAAUCUGCUUUGUUGAAGCUGCUCAUUUGUCUGAUCUAUGAGUCCAGAAGAUGCAAACUCCCUUCCCAGCUUAUGCAAAAAUACUUCCAGUAAAAACAAGCCCUUUGGCCCUUU
ensembl:lncRNA LNC-LBCS lncRNA bladder and prostate cancer suppressor, hnRNPK interacting